ensembl:processed_transcript
UAUAAGUACAUAACUUCACUCACCUGGGAAAUGGAAGCCACGUGAAUGGUUUGUGAGCACAAUUAAGUGCACACAGCAUGCCAUAUCAUCUGAUAAUUAUAGGAAAUAAUUCCAAAAGGCAACUGACUGUGUAAAGCCACAUAAAACAUCACAGAAAUACAAUGAAUAUGCCGAGUUCAGCAGCUAAUCAGCUGGAAUCAGCUGAGGUGAAGUGAGGGCGACAAACGAGACCUGGCUGUCACUCCAGUGGCCACGCCUUUAAUUAUGCAGACUUAAUAUGUAAUGUAAUGUAAAACGGAUGAGUUAUAAAAUAAUUCACCCCCUCACAGUUUUCAUGAAGGGUAAUAUUAGCUAUAUGAACCAAAAUUUUUCUUUGUACCAGUCUGUAAAGACAUUUUUCUGCUGUAAAGUUGGCCAUUUCAACAGUGGGCUCAAUAGAAAUUUGCUUCAUAUGGAGCCUGGACUAGCGGAAUUUGAUGAAUU